AUCGUCGCCAAGCCUAAUAUUCAGUAUUAAAAUCGGGACUGGGUGGUAACUCUAAAAAUUAACGUUACAUGUCGAUGCGGAUGGCUAUGAUCGAUAUAUAUUCCACCAGGGUCGAUCGCACUUACUAGAUUUAUUAAAUAACUAAUAUUUUAACACGUUUUUUCUAUACCCUGCAAUUAUCCGAACAUUUGCUGAGCGAUCUGUCCAUCUGUGAAUGUGAUCUGACAAGUGAUUAUUUUUCCGGAUUUGGUUUUGUAGAUUAGUUUAAACAUUCAACUUCCAGUUAAGAAAAACACUUUAUGUUUACUUUCAGUUUUAGUCCACUAAUUGAUUAAAUAUUUUAUUACCUGUGAAUCGAUUUCAUAAAAGACGAAGACACAGUGAAUAUCAAGCUAAACAUGACAGGACUUACGGGAUGAAACCAGGACCUUAGGGAACAGCCAUUGCCAAGGGAAAUGAACCACUAGUAUCUCUAGGGACUCACAGCAUUCUGGACUUUCAAGAAAUUUAUUGUGAAAGUGAUGUGAGGAACAGCCAUUUAUAUGGAAGUGAUUCAUUCCAAGUGCAAGUCAUGCAUCAUUUCCAGGAGCCAAUAAUUUUCCUCUUACCGCAGACAUUAAGCAAUAAUGUGAAUUUAUAGAAUCUGGUACGGCUGUCCGUUUCUUUCCAGCUGAGAUGUGCGUAAACGAGCGGCACUAAGUAACUAUCCUUAUAUGCAGUCAUGUAACUCAUGAAAGUUGAAAAGUAAACUUUGGAUUUAGAUAUACAUAAAUAAGUGCUUGACCUCUGCACCUCCCAGGGUCAAGGCUUUUACCACUUUCUGAUAUGGUGUUUGUGAACUUUGACCUUUGAACUUUGAACAGAGACACCAAUAGCUUUUCAUAAUUUGUGUCUCUGGAUAAACAGCCGUGCCCAAUUAUCGCCACAAUAAAAUUUAUUAAAUACA